CGAAGCAGACCAGAUGGUCGCCGUUCACCUCGCCUUGGGCGAAGGUGGAGGGAGGAAAGUCCGGGCUCCACAGGGCAUGGUGCUGGAUAACGUCCAGCGGGGGCAACCCUAGGGAUAGUGCCACAGAGAGAAGUCCGCCCACCGAAGCCUCGGCGAAGGUGGGUAAGGGUGAAAGGGUGAGGUAAGAGCUCACCGGGUUCGGCGGCGACGUCGGAUGCCAGGUAAACCCCACCAGGAGCAAGACCAAAUAGGGAAGCGCCAAGGACGGCCCGUCCGUGCUUCCGGGUUGGUUGCUUGAGGGUGUCGGCAACGGCACUCCUAGAUGAAUGACUAUCACCCGCCUCCGGGUAACCGGCUGCGGGAACAGAACCCGGCUUACGGGCUGCUUCGGCCA
rnacentral:RNase_P_RNA from 1 species